rnacentral:rRNA from 1 species
UGAGCCUACGGGAGGCAGCAGUGGGGAAUCUUGCGCAAUGGGCGGAAGCCUGACGCAGCGAUGCCGCGUGAGUGAAGAAGGCCUUCGGGUCGUAAAGCUCUUUUUCGGGGGAAAACAUGCAGCAUCCGGAAAUGUGUGCUGACUGAUGGUGCCCCGCCAGAAAGUCACGGCUAACUACGUGCCAGCAGCCGCGGUAAUACGUAGGUGGCGAGCGUUAUCCGGAAUGAUUGGGCGUAUAGGUUGCGCAUGCUGUCCU